CCUACGGGAGGCAGCAGUGGGGAAUUUUGGACAAUGGGCGAAAGCCUGAUCCAGCAAUGCCGCGUGAGUGAAGAAGGCCUUCGGGUUGUAAAGCUCUUUUGUCAGGGAAGAAACGGUGUGGGCUAAUAUCCCGCACUAAUGACGGUACCUGAAGAAUAAGCACCGGCUAACUACGUGCCAGCAGCCGCGGUAAUACGUAGGGUGCAAGCGUUAAUCGGAAUUACUGGGCGUAAAGCGUGCGCAGGCGGUUUUGUAAGUUUGUCGUGAAAGCCCCGGGCUCAACCUGGGAAUUGCGAUGAAGACUGCAAGGCUUGAAUCUGGCAGAGGGGGGUAGAAUUCCACGUGUAGCAGUGAAAUGCGUAGAGAUGUGGAGGAACACCGAUGGCGAAGGCAGCCCCCUGGGUCAAGAUUGACGCUCAUGCACGAAAGCGUGGGGAGCAAACAGGAUUAGAUACCCUGGUAGUCCACGCCCUAAACGAUGUCUACUAGUUGUCGGGUUUUAAUUAACUUGGUAACGCAGCUAACGCGUGAAGUAGACCGCCUGGGGAGUACGGUCGCAAGAUUAAAACUUAAAGGAAUUGACGGCUGGAGACGUGACCGAAGGCACGACGGAGGGUAGAGG
rnacentral:rRNA from 1 species